GAUGAACGCUAGCGGGAGGCCUAACACAUGCAAGCCGAGCGGUAUUGUUUCUUCGGAAAUGAGAGAGCGGCGUACGGGUGCGGAACACGUGUGCAACCUGCCUUUAUCUGGGGGAUAGCCUUUCGAAAGGAAGAUUAAUACUCCAUAAUAUAUUGAACGGCAUCGUUUAAUAUUGAAAGCUCCGGCGGAUAGAGAUGGGCACGCGCAAGAUUAGCUAGUUGGUGAGGUAACGGCUCACCAAGGCAAUGAUCUUUAGGGGGCCUGAGAGGGUGAUCCCCCACACUGGUACUGAGACACGGACCAGACUCCUACGGGAGGCAGCAGUGAGGAAUAUUGGUCAAUGGGUGCAAGCCUGAACCAGCCAUCCCGCGUGAAGGACGACUGCCCUAUGGGUUGUAAGCUUCUUUUGUAUAGGGAUAAACCUUUCCACGUGUGGGAAGCUGAAGGUACUAUACGAAUAAGCACCGGCUAACUCCGUGCCAGCCGCCGCAGUAAGAC
rnacentral:rRNA from 1 species